rnacentral:ncRNA from 2 species
AUCGUUCAUCUCUACAAUUUUUUCAAAUUCUGUCUUCUGGCAGAUGUGAUGUGGAGACGGAAGUAGGGAGCCAUCCCGAAGGAACGCGCC